rnacentral:lncRNA from 1 species
CGAUAAUCAACUCUGCAUAAUUAAAAUCGCUCAGACUGCUGAACUAAUUUUCAGACUGGAGGUUUCUUCCUGUAGCAACACUUACAAGCGAAGUUUCUACUGUGAAUGAAUUUAAUCAAUAUAGCAAUUCUCCAUCGCUGAAAAUGAAAUCAGUGCUGGCAGUGAGCUGCCCUUCAACGCCCCCCCCCCCGCCACGCCUAAAAACCACUGCAGUGAAGAUGAUGCCACUUCCCUGCUGAGAGAGCACUGUGGUUGGCAACACUGACCUCCAGCCCUGGGUGCCACCUGAGGACCUCCGCUCCCAGCCUUGGAUCCUCACGCCAUGGUCACAGCUUGGGAUCCUGGGGACCACACCUUUUUGUCUCACUAGCUCCAGCUAACAGCUAGUCCAUGGACUCUGAC